CAUGUGUAGCUGAGGGACGUGCCCUCAUUGCUCCCUUCGGAGAACUGGUUCGUUCUUGCUGUAUGCUUCUGCAAACCUGGCCAGGGCCACCUCCGGGAGCGUGCUCUGCUAACAUUAUCCUUUCAGCUGCAGCAGAAGUGGGCUAGAAAAAGGCAGAAGAGGAUGCGAUGCACAGUGUCCCACGUGGCUGAUGUCUGUGGGCAUCGAAGGCUGGAGAAAGUUGGGCUAGAAGGGGCAGAGAAGUCUUGGUGCAUUAAGAGGGGUUUCCUGAAGAUGAUGAAAACUACUUAAUGCAAUAUGGAAAGGCUCUCUGAAAUCCAGGGAACGGAAGAAAAAGACCUUGGAAGAAAAAUAAAUGAAUAGAUAGGUAAAUAGGCAAACGAAAUGGGAGCUGGAUGUGUCUAUGGGAAAGGAAAAUGAGGCAAAAAUCCCAAUCUUCAGAAAGUAACAGGGCUCAGUCUCAGUAAAUGCCACAAACCUCCUCCAUCCGUCUCCAUUGUCACUAUAGUCCGUUGAAAGAAGACCACAGAGCAAGGAUUCCUGACAGGGGGUGGUCAGAUCCUGCAAGCUGCUGUGCCCCAGCCCACUGCUGAUGGGUCCUGGGAUGCUGAAGAGCAGCUCCUCCCCGGGGCCUUGGAAGAGCAGAACGCAUGAAGAAGAGAUCAGUUAUCCAUUUACAUAUUCAAAAGCCUUAAUUGUUCUGAGAUGCGGGGAGGAAAAAAUUCUCUGCCUGCAGAGCUGUGUUUUUGGGAUGGAGCUGCUCACACUGCCAUUAGCACGGUGCUGCCUACAGUACCUACACGCAGCCUGGGUAAGGGAGGAGAGGCUGAUGGGAACCUGCUCUGUGAUGCACGUAGGGGUGGCAGGCAGGAGCCCAGUGGCUUUUAGCACCCGUGCAGCAAACAUGGUGCCCAACUCCAGCCAUCGCCCUGUCCCCAGUGCCAGCCUUGCACUGGACCCAAGGUGGUGCAGCUCAGCAUGCAGAUACCACAUCAGGUAUGUCAGCUGUCAGCCCACAGAGGCCAUCCCUGGCCAAGGGCUCCCAGAUUGCUCUGUUUGGCAUCAUGUGCUGACUGGAGAGGAAGGAUGUCCCCAGCAUCACACGGCAACUGGGGAGCAGAAAGCAUCAGCCCGGCAUCCCACCAAGCUGCUCACAGACAAUCUCUGGGAAGUCUCACCUUCUGCAGUGAUUCACCGCUGACCUGACAGUUCCCAUUCUGAGGAUGGGCGAUGGCACGGGCUGUGUGAUUUCUGGCUUUCCAGCAAGACCUGCUUUUGGGAGGGGUUGCAAGGGAGGUGCAUUUUGACACUGCGGAAAAAGCCCCGUGUCUCAGUUUCCCAAUAAAGAGAGGGAAGCCCCGUGUCCUGCUGUGGAAGAAGCAGAGGCAGCGAUGGUGGGGCCAUGAAAUGGUUAAAGCGGUGUCGUGCUGCCUCCCGAUUGUUCUGCAAGGUGUGUUGUGACAUUUGUACUUCCUCCUGCCACGGCGGCGGGGAGGGAUGCUGGCGCUGGGGCUGCAGCAUGGCCCUGCAUGGGUUGGUUGGGCGCUGCGGCGUGGUGCUGCUGCUGGCCCUGCUGUGCGACGUGCUGGGGCUGGUCCUGCUCCUCCUGGGGCUGUUCGCUCCUCUCAGCUACUGGGACUUCUUCGUUUACUUGGGAGCGCUGCUGCUCGCCUUCAGUAUUCUCUUCUGGAUCUUCUGGUACACGUUCAACAUCGAGGUCCCCUACAGGGAGCUGGGUUUUAAUUGACCUUCAGCACUGAAAUGGGAGCUUACGCUUGGAGGAGCAAUCUCACUUCACCAGCUGGGAAGCUGCAAAGCAUCGUUCCAUUGGUGAAGAGCAUCCACAAAGACUGCGGUUCCCCGAGCAUCGCCUGCCCACAUGGACACCAGGGAAAGGGACUGAAGAGGACCGGACUGUGAAUGUAGGGAGCAAGCAGAUGGAGAGGAACAGCAGCAAACAAGGACUCCAUUAUGCCACUCUUCAACAAAAGGUCUUCUAUUGCAAACCUGCCACCAAAGACACAGAGCGAGAUGCACUGUACUGACCUGCUGAGCCUGCCCUGGGCACGAGUACUGCAGACACCCUUUGAAUGGUGCCUUCGUGUCCCCUCUGAGCACCCUCCUACCCACUGCCAUGAUCUCAGAGAGCCCAGCAGGAGCUGCCUGGCAGCAGCAGAACCGCUGCAAAGUGUCCUGGUGAGCACUUGCAGGAUCCAGGCGGCAGCACGGACCAAUUCUCCCAGCCCCACUGAGGGUGUGAAGAGGCUGAGCAGGGCUCACAGCAUGUGGCACCAGCAGGACAUGCAGCCUGGGGACCUCACCUGUACUUUGAUGCACUCAAUGGGAGAGGGAGACAACAAAAUAUGGCAGGACAGGGGAUUUCCUAACAGAAGCCAGCUGGUGGCUGUAUGGAGGUCUUAGGUACAUUUUACCUGAUCUCACCAAGGUCUCAGGCACUUUCUAAUGGCACUUACUGAUGUACUCAGAAGGUCUGUUCAAAGAACUACUGAAGCUGAGGACAGAUAGGAAAAGAUGCAGUGUUUCAGCUGCCAAACUGGAGGCUCAGUGCAGAAACAAGCCUCCCUGCUAACUCCAAGUACAAAUCUCAGGUGGAAGGGGGUGAAGAGAUCCACGUCUUCCUCCUCCCGCAUUCCCAACACAGUGUUCAGCUUACCAUAAAGACAUCUGUGGGGUGGAACCACAUCUAAUACCUACCAGAUAGGCUGUUCCACACUUUCCAUUGCAGGCAUCAGUUUCCAGUCGUUUAAAACUUUAUCCAGCUUCACUCCAUUGUGAUUUCCCAUCCUGGAGCUCCUGUCUCAGAGAUGAAGGUGGGCGCUGCCAUCACUUCUCUCUGGAUGCUGGUGGUCAGGAUGGCACUGGUGUCAGGACUUGGCUGUUGGUUGAGCUGUGCCCUGCCACACAGGCUGCGUGCAGCUGUACUGACCCAAUGCAGGACUGAUUCACCACCAUUACAGAAAGACCUCCCAUGACUUCCCCAUGAGCAAUGGAGAUGUAUUUUGGGCACGGCGUGCACUCUGUGCACCCCCAUCAGCCGUUUCAUGCCAAGAGGUCCAAGGGCAGCAUGCAGAGAACACGACCUGCAGACGGAGGGUAGAGAUGGGGAUGCUCUGCUGGGAAGCAGCAUGGAGAUUGGUGGCCCUGCAUGCACCUGGCCACUACAGCCUCAAAGCAUCAAGAUAACUCACAUUUGAAACCUAUCUGGAACCACCUCCCAGUGCCCCAGAACGUGGAACAAGGAAUCUUGCACCAAGGGAUGGCAUCAGACCCAUCGAGCUGUGCCCUGGGGUUGCAAAACGCUGCAAGGUCCAUGCGAGGCUGUUGUGCAUUGCUCUGUUCUGGAGGAACUGUUUUGGUUUCACCUUUGUGGUUUUAUUUUGUUGUGUUGGUUCUUUUUCCUUUGUUAAAGUUGCUGCACUCCCUUUCAAAGCCAUUUGUUUACUGAUGGUGGAUGGUGGGGUGAAGGGGGAUUUAUGGCUGUGGUAACUCUGUCCACGUGUGGCUAUUACAUAUGGGAGAAUGGCAGAUGGAAGACAUGGUAGAACAUGUGGCAUAAUUCAUAGGCGCAGGACACCAAUGGCAAACAGCAGUAGCAUUAACCCUUCUCUGAAACAUGGGGGGACCUCUUCCUUUUUGUUUUUUGUUUUUGUUUUUUUUUUAAAUAAAACUAAAGAUUAGCCACUGUUGGCCCUUCUGCAUUCACAUUCAGUGGUGGGAGAGGGCACUCCACAGGUCAUUAAUCCAAAUGAACUCAGCUUAAGAGGACUUCAGUGAUUCCUACAAAUCCCCAUGAAUUCGGUG